rnacentral:rRNA from 1 species
GCAAGAUUAAAACUCAAAGGAAUAGACGGGGACCCGCACAAGUGGUGGAGCAUGUGGUUUAAUUCGAAGAUACGCGAAGAACCUUACCUAGCCUUGACAUUGAUAGAAUCUUCCAGAGAUGGAGGAGUGCCUUUCGGGGAACUUGAAGACAGGUGCUGCACGGCUGUCGUCAGCUCGUGUCGUGAGAUGUUGGGUUAAGUCCCGCAACGAGCGCAACCCUCGUCAUUAGUUACUAACAGUUCGGCUGAGGACUCUAAUGAGACUGCCUUCGUAAGGAGGAGGAAGGUGAGGACGACGUCAAGUCAUCAUGGCCCUUACGGCUAGGGCGACACACGUGCUACAAUGGUUAGGACAAUGAGAGGCGAUACCGCGAGGUGGAGCAAAUCUAUAAACCUAAUCUCAGUUCGGAUUGUAGUCUGCAACUCGACUACAUGAAGCUGGAAUCACUAGUAAUCGUAGAUCAGCCAUGCUACGGUGAAUACGUUCCCGGGUCUUGUACUCACCGCCCGUCACACCAUGGGAGUUGAUUUCACCCGAAGCGGGGAAGCUAAACUGGCUACCCUCCACGGUGGAAUUAGCGACUGGGGUGAAGUCGUAACAAGGUA